AAAGCAGCGGCCCCAGCAACUGAUUCCUUCUCUUCAUAGUUUCUUUCCCCUUUGCUCAAUCCCCUCCUUCCUAUCCUCCAAUAUCUCAGCCCGCCUCUACUCCCAAGCCAGUCACUGCUGCCUCCUCCAGCACCUGGAAAGGAUAAAUGCUGCUCUAACGCUACCUCUCUGGUCACUGGAGGGAAGCAGGGGGCUCAGGAGUCUGUUCUCUUCAUGCCUUUACCAGAUCCUGAAUCAGGAUUUUAAGAAGAAACCAGAGAGAAGAUGGGGAAGGAGUAGCCAGUGAAGGAGGAAAACCAGGAAAGAAUGAUAAUCCAGAAAAAAUGCUUCCAGAAUGAAACCCUAAUGAACACACAGUGACUGAAGAUGUUGGCUGUUUGCUUUGAGAGCAGUCCUGGAUGAGAGCUGGUGAUUGCAGACAGACAGUACUUUCUGUGGAAUGUCUGCAUUCCCUACCAUUCAGCCUUAUCUGGCAGGCUAGACUUUGACUGAUGUAGUAUUUUAAGCAUGUGUCCUAUGCUAACCUGGCAACCAUUCUGUGCAAGCCAACCAUCAUUGCCCUUUACAUGGAUUUGGAGACCCUCAGAAUCCUCAGUCAGCAGAGCUUGGUCUGAACUGCAUUAGCAACCGUCUGCCUAGGGACUUAAAUACACAUGAUGGAAAAGGAGGUACAUUUGAAGUCUCUAUUAAAGGAAAGAGUAAUAUUAGGAAAGGGAGUACCUGGGGAAAGAGUAACAUUUUGAUGUAACAAAUAAAACAAGUCAAAAUGUCCUCUCUUACUCCUAAAAAAAUUUAUAAAGUAGAUAAGGCAAGAUAUCAGUGUAUAAUGUAUAACUUCUGUAUGUAGUGAUAUUCUCAUCUCUGUAAGCUAGCAUUAAACAUAGUAAUUAGUUUAUGGAGUGGUUUUGCUUUAAUACCUGGAACACAUUUGGAAUAAUAUAUGACAGAGAGCAAAGCUUAGUAUGUAUUAGAAAACUGUAUCAGUUGGGAUUCACUUAGAGGAACAGAAUUAAAGUCUAACAUAUAUAUAAUGAUAUUGGCUGCCUGGAGAGUCAGGGUUGAAGGGUUUAGAAAGGCCAUUUGCUGCUGAAGAGUCAGAGGAUUCAGUCAAAAGUCAAAAGCUGGGCACUCGCUUUGGAGUCCUGUAUGAGUCCACACUGGGAAGUUGAAGGUCCACCAUGGAAGGCUGGAAAGUCCCUACUGGAAGCCUGGAGGUGGAUGUCCAAAGGUGAUGGUGAAAACUGGAGCUCUGAAGAAGCAGAAGCCAGACUUCCUUCUUUUUUCCAAUUUCAGUCCAUCCACACUACAAGCCUAUUGGUUGAUAUCAUCCAUGGCCAGGGUGGGUCUUCCCUCUCCAGUAAGUCAGUCAUCCAAAAGCCAUUCUGUUAGUAUUUCCUAUUCAAAUUGACACCACAACUAUCACAAACCCAAUAAUGAUCAAUUGUUGUUAUUUUAUUUUAGGUGGUACUGGGGGUUGAACUCAGGGCCUCAUGUGUGCUAGGCAAGCACUCUACCACUGAGCUACAACCCCAGCUCCAAUUGUUAUUAUUUUAUUGUUGUGCCUUGACUUGGGCUGAGCUAUUUCCUGUUUCUGUGCCUUUUUUUCAUACUGUGAAGAGUCUCAUUUAAAUCAAGAACAGAAAUUAAUAAGUUGAUGAAUGUGGUUCUUGUAGGAGGCUGGUGCCUGUAUCCACAUAGCUCAUCAUGGAUACGAGGUAGAGGGAACACCGGGGAGUGGGCAGACAAGUGGUCUGAAGCAGCCAGAGACAGCUCAGCCAACCCAGCCAUGCUACUUCGCCUUCACCAGCUUUAUUUUUUGGUGUGUGAGGGACAGAAAACCCUUGAUAUUAUUAGCAGAGUCAAAAAUCAACAUAUAUAAUGUAUAUGGAAUAGUGUUGGGCAUAUAGAACAUGUGCAAUGAUAUAAAACAGAGAUCAUUAAUAAUUAUAAUGAAAUCCCUACGUGGGCAAACCCUUCCCCUUCCUUCCCAUGAACAGAGACACUCUGCACAUUUUUGUGACCAGCCAGACACCAGUCUCUACAAGAAUCCAGAUUCCCUUGGUUUCUUCCUCUGGGCUUCUUUUCUCUUUGUUCAUACUUCUAUGGAAUCAUUUCUUCCCUCAAUAAAUUUUGGAUGGUA